rnacentral:rRNA from 1 species
GACGAACGCUGGCGGCGUGCUUAACACAUGCAAGUCGAACGGAAAGGCCCUGCUUUUGUGGGGUGCUCGAGUGGCGAACGGGUGAGUAACACGUGAGUAACCUGCCCUUGACUUUGGGAUAACUUCAUGAAACUGGGGCUAAUACCGGAUAGGAGCUCCUGCUGCAUGGUGGGGGUUGGAAAGUUUCGGCGGUUGGGGGUGGACUCGCGUCGUAUCAGGUUGUUGGUGGGGUAGUGGCUUACCAAGGUUUUGACGGGUAGCAGGCCUGGGAGGGUGACCGGCCACGUUGGGCUUGGAAUACGGCCCAGACCCCUCCGGUACGGAGCGGUGGGGAAUAGUGCACAAGGGGCGGAAGCCUGAUGCAGCACCGCCGCGUGCGGGAUGACGGCCUUCGGGUUGUAUUCCGCUUUCGCCUGUGACGAAGCGUGAGUGACGGUAAUGGGUAAAGAAGCACCGGCUAACUACGUG